GGCGGAGUCCUGGAGGGGCGGGCUGGGGCGGGACCUGGGUGGGGUGUCCUGGGGCAGGACGUAUUUCGCCAGGCAGGGCAGCAGCUUCCAGACACCCGAGACCACUAGCGAAACAUGCUACAGUCACUUCUUGAUCGUGUGACGCGCAGAGGUGGCUGUGCGGUAGCGUGAACGUCCCAUCAGCCGAGGUCACAUGAAAUGGAGUGACUCUUUGCUGGCCCUGGACCACGAGUCGGGAUCCCGGCGCCCCAUGGCGACCCCGCAGCACCUUCCUGUGACUGUCCCCCGACCCUGGCUGUACGGACAGCGCGCCUCUGGCCCUGACUCCAGGAGGCGACCUCUCUGCAUUUAUGACCUCCACGGCCUGGACCUCCCCUGGAUCGUGGGGACGGGUCUGGGAGGUCCCGCGUCCCUGGCUUGGAUCCUUCCGGUGCCACCGAGGAGCCAGCAUCUGGGCCCAGGUCCCACACGUAGGCCGAUGCGCCUGACGGACACCCCACCCCACCCCACCCCCCGCUGCAUAGCCUGGCAGGCCAGUGCCCCCCGCCCCCCAACACACAAGAUUUCUGGCUCGCGAGGGAAGCCCUCGGGACAUCAGUCCCCCUGCUCCAGCAAACGCUCGCACGGCGCGGUGGAUGGGUCUUCUCUCAGACCUACAAGUCUGCACCUGUUGUGUGCGUUACGGUUCCACCAAAGCCAAAUAAACAGUAAACCUCACGACACGACGUUUCAGUGUCGACUGAAUCAGACUUGGCCCCUGCGGGAAAGUCUGAUGCGGCCCACCCAGAACCCAACUGAGAAUCCCUGGACUGCGAGGGCUCGCCGAGCUACCCGGGGUUUCAGUGCAGUGCAAAGCAAACCACACUACCACCUGUGACAUAGGUGGGGCACGAUUUAAGACAAAUAACCCAAAGCAUUCCUGUAUGCUUAAGUUGUGGGCUGAGGGGAUCAAUUGUUUUCAUGGGAAAAGGUGGGCUCUGGGCUAGAUCGUGACAGACAGUAAUUACUAUUCAC
rnacentral:lncRNA from 1 species